GCCCAGGAACCGUGCGGGCAGGCGCCGCCCAACCCCGCCAGGUUCGGAAGGAAGCAACGGUAAGCGGAUACCUGUUG
rnacentral:SRP_RNA from 1 species